CGCCUGUGAUGAUUUUAUUGAAUAAGAGUAGUGGACAGAAGAGAUUUCUGAGAAAUCUGUAACUGAGGCA
ensembl:snoRNA small nucleolar RNA SNORD75